rnacentral:rRNA from 1 species
UACGUAGGGUGCGAGCGUUAAUCGGAAUUACUGGGCGUAAAGGGUGCGCAGGCGGUCUCGUAAGCUGGGUGUGAAAGCCCCGGGCUUAACCUGGGAAUGGCAUUCAGGACUGCGAGGCUUUGAGUGUGGCAGAGGGAGGUGGAAUUCCACGUGUAGCAGUGAAAUGCGUAGAGAUGUGGAGGAACACCGAUGGCGAAGGCAGCCUCCUGGGCCAGCACUGACGCUCAUGCCCGAAAGCGUGGGGAGCAAACAGG